rnacentral:rRNA from 1 species
UUUAGGUGGGGGAUAACAAUUGGAAACGAUUGCUAAUACCCCAUAUGCUUGAGAGUGAAAUAUAUUUAUCUGCCUAAAGAAAAGCUCGCGGCUGAUUAGCUAGUUGGUAAGGUAAUGGCUUACCAAGGCGACGAUCAGUAUCUGGUUUGAGAGGACGAUCAGACACACUGGAACUGAGACACGGUCCAGACUCCUACGGGAGGCAGCAGUGGGGAAUCUUCCGCAAUGGGCGAAAGCCUGACGGAGCAAUACCGCGUGAGGGAAGACUGCCUAUGGGUUGUAAACCUCUUUUUUCAGGGAGGAAUAACUGACGUGUACCUGAAGAAUAAGCAUCGGCUAACUCCGUGCCAGCAGCCGCGGUAAGACGGAGGAUGCAAGUGUUAUCCGGAAUCACUGGGCGUAGAGCGUCUGUAGGUGGUUUAAUAAGUCAACUGUUAAAUCUUGAAGCUCAACUU